CAGCGGGGCAGACUGAGAUGAGGGGAGUGGAUUCUCCACAAUACAGGCAGAGCUGGUAACAGAUUCACCAUUGACAUUCGGAGGAUUUCAGGCGGUAUGCGUCCAUUAUCAUUGGCUCUUCGGCUUCCAGCGCUAGCGAUGGAACUCUGGGAGAUUAUAUUGCGUUAGCAGACGAGGAAAAUGGGCAAGCAGAAAAAUGUUGUGAUACGCUCAUAGUUUUCUUGAUGAAUGCUUCUAAGUUAGCAUUAUCAUCGUAAAUGACCAUUUUUAUGAAUGUGAGGUUUUAGCCCCUUAUGAUAAGCUAGGAGGGCUUCUUGAUUCCACCCACUACUCGCAGCAAGUGAUCUAAACUGUAGCAUAUACUCAUGGAUGGGGAGAUUUCAGUGGCGGAGAUUAAUUAGUUCGUCAUGUACUGACAGGGAAGGGAGUGGGACUGCAAAUACCUCUUUGAAGUGGCUUAAGAACAUUUUGUAAGGUGGCCAUCACCGUGCUGCUGGCAUUUUAUAGAGCAUCUGCCCACUGUAGAGCUCAACCUAAAAGCAGGGAUAUCAUGAAAGCAACUUUCAAGAUUUCAUUAGGAAAUUAAUGAGCAUUGGCUUCCAUAUACAGUGAACAUUGAGAGAGAAAACCAGGUGCUUCGUUCACCCGAGUAAUUCAUGGGUCGAGCAAGUGGCGUGCUCAUGAUGACCACUGGGGUGAAAGUGGCACUUAAGGGUGUGGAAGGCAACGUUUGCCACAUGGUGUGGACCACACCAGCGAAUGGAUCCGAAGCGCUUCCGGUUAGCACAGCGAUAGCUUUCAUGAGCGUGUUGUUUUCUUCUGGGCCAGUAUUCUGUCAAGCUGGUAGACAAGGAUGGUUAUCGUUUGUUAGUUUUAUUCAAAACAAAGUUACUUAAUCAAAGUGAGGAGGUAAAGGAGUGGUGUUAAUGCUGUUAUCGAUCUUCUUUCACAGCAUGGUAAUGUAAACAUCAGAUGUUAGCGAUCUCAUGGGAACAUCAGCAGUGUGAAGGAUCCGAAGGCACAUAAGGAACAUCCGUGGUAUGAAGGAUUCGAGGAUUCAUAAAGAACAUCCAUGGAAGAAGAAGAGAAGACGAAGAAGUGAAGAUGAGGACAACCAUCCGACUUCAAUACCGGUCGAUGACUAAGGAGAAGGUAGGCUUUGUAUGUAGAGCUGAUAUAGAGCCAAAUUGCACAGUAAGAACUAUAUAUCUACUGCUAACUAUAUAUGAUUGUAACUGAAACUUUAAGUAACUAAAUAUUAAUUUACACAUUUAGUUAUUCAUUUAGCAUUAAAAAUUAAACUAAGAAAUCUUCAACCAAAAUCUAUGCAGAUAUGGAAAGAAUAAAAAGAGAGCUUGAAAAUUUUAAGGUUCCGUGAAUUUACAAUUUGUAGUACAUUUGUACAUUAAAUUGGAUGUGUACAUGUAGUACAUACAUCAAUCUUUAUCACAAAAAAGAGAGAAUUUUC